rnacentral:rRNA from 1 species
UACGGGGGGGCAAGCGUUGUUCGGAAUUACUGGGCGUAAAGGGCUCGUAGGCGGCCAACUAAGUCGGAUGUGAAAUCCCCAGGCUUAACCUGGGAACUGCAUCCGAUACUGGAUGGCUUGAAUCCGGGAGAGGGAUGCGGAAUUCCAGGUGUAGCGGUGAAAUGCGUAGAUAUCUGGAGGAACACCGGUGGCGAAGGCGGCAUCCUGGACCGGCAUUGACGCUGAGGAGCGAAAGCCAGGGAGCAAACGGGG